CUUCCGUGUGUGGUGGAAAAGUAGCCUGUGGUGAGAAGCAGGGAGCCCACUUCCUCCUUCUGGGGACGGCUUGGGAGUGCACUGGGGGACGUGUAUUGCUUUGUGUGUUGACAGCUCAGGAAAACUUACGCUUCUGUCAGAAGAAAUAUGUCUUUUAGGUGGAACUGGCCUGAGUUAGAAUCUCAGAUGCUAAGAAAUCAGAUAGACUUUCCAGGAAAAAGGUGCGUUUUCGGCCGUGCUGUGAGUGGCUGUGAGAAGGGUCUGAUUUGCAGCUGAAACAGGUUCCUCAAGGGACUGUGGCUGCCCCAGCUGAGAGGUCGCCGCAGGUGAACCCCAGCUUGCUUCCUAAUGCUCUGUGCUCAGGAGGGGAAGCUCCCAGUGGCUCAAAUGACCCUGGUGCUGCCUGCAAAGUUCUCCAAAACAGGGACAGGACCAACUUGCCACUCCAGACACAGGACAAAAAUCGCAGCAGAGCAAGACUCACGCCGGAUCACACAGUGUGGUGACUUCCUUUCCUUCGCACCCCUUUUCAACCUUAACAUACUGAAGGGGAAGGGCUGUGGAGAAAUCGGGAUGGUGGGUGGAGACCAGGAAGGGCGCAGGGAGCCACCUGUGGAGUCUGGAGGACCACAUGCAGAUUCUGUGUCUGACGUGAACGUGCUUGCCAGGUGUCCCGCGUGGUCUCUGACCACCACGAGGAGAGCCUCCCCCUGUGCUUGCCUUCACUCUGUCUCCCUGUGAACUACGGAGAAACUAUGAAAAGUCACUCGUGCCAGCCCUCCCCACCCCUCCCAACAUGGUGUAGCCAGUCUCUCCAUGGUCGGUCUACAUGCAGCUCUGCCGGUGAGCUGAUGUGCAUGCCCAGAGAACCCGCCCCUGCCGAGCCCCUCAGUUGGAGACCUGGUGCUCGCUGAGGCCAGACACCUGGUCCUAUGUCCCGCACACCCUGGUGAACACCAGAAACCCGGGGCACAGGGAGGGACCCUUGUUUGCCUGUGGAAAGUGUUAACAGGAACUUGAGGCAUUUAGAUCACGUGUUAACUUGGCAUCAUUGAGGGAUGUCUGAGAGCUUGAGGUGGGGAGAUGCAAUUUAGCUUCUCAGGCUGGCCUGGGUAAUUAAACUGCCAAUGUUAUUUAUGAGUUUUGGUCUUAAAGUGUUGUGCAAGCACCCAGAGGCUUUCUAGCAAAGAGAGUGCUAUUUUCUUAAUCACAUAAAAUCUUAAGGUCCUGGCAGCUGCUCUUCAGAGGGUGUUUCCUGUUGUUGCGGCUUAAUCUGGGGGUGAAACUGUUGAUUGAGUUCCCGUGAGUGACAAGAAACAGCAGAGAUUUGUGCAUUUCCACGUACAGCAAGUCCUGGCCCCACCCACUUAGUGCUACGCCUACCAGUUGUGGGAAAAUUUACAUUUCCAGGAAACUGCACACAAUUGGGUAAAGCGUUGGUCCUUCAGGGAGAGAAGAAUAAUGACCAUCUUCUUCCUCUGUCUCCAAGAAUACGAAUACAUUAUUUUAAGGACCAAAAUGGUCGAGCCCAUAACUGUACCAUGAAUAGCCCUAGACAUUAAACAACGGGUUAAGUAGCUCUUGCUGGCUAUGAGCCCAGCUCUGACACUGCCUGGGUGUGGGGUGCUAGGCCCCCAGUGCCCGAGUUUCCGCAUCUGUGAGCCCAGCUUUGACACUGCGUGGGUGAGGGGUGCUAGGCUCUCAGUGCUCUGUAAGCCCAGCUCUGACACUGCCUGGGUGUGGGGUGCUAGGCCCCCAGUGCCUGAGUUUCCGCAUCUGUGAGCCCAGCUUUGACACUGCGUGGGUGAGGGGUGCUAGGCUCUCAGUGCUCUGUAAGCCCAGCUCUGACACUGCCUGGGUGUGGGGUGCUAGGUCCCCAGUGCCUGAGUUUCCGCAUCUGUGAGCCCAGCUUUGACACUGCGUGGGUGAGGGGUGCUAGGCUCUCAGUGCUCUGUAAGCCCAGCUCUGACACUGCCUGGGUGUGGGGUGCUAGGCCCCCAGUGCCUGAGUUUCCGCAUCUGUGAGCCCAGCUUUGACACUGCGUGGGUGAGGGGUGCUAGGCUCUCAGUGCUCUGUAAGCCCAGCUCUGACACUGCGUGGGUGAGGGGUGCUAGGCUCUCAGUGCUCUGUAAGCCCAGCUCUGACAUUGCGUGGGUGAGGGGUGCUAGGCUCUCAGUGCUCUAUAAGUCCAGCUCUGACACUGCCUGGGUGUGGGGUGCUAGGCCCCCAGUGCCUGAGUUUCUAUAUCUGUGAGCCCAGCUAUGACACUGCAUGGGUGAGGGGUGCUAGGCCCUCAGUGCCUCAGUUUCCACAUCUGUACGCUGGGUCUCUAAAUGGUGCUGACCAUCAUGGAGUGGUUGUAAGGAGUUAAUGACUCAUAUGCAUGAAGUUCUUAGAACAGGCCUUCCCCUUUGCCAGCACUCAAUAAAUAUCAGUUAUUAUGAGCAAUAUUAGGGUCAGGCUAUAAUAAUGAAGGGUGCUGUUUUGUCCCUGAGAGGACUGGAACCUAGAUGGAAUGAGAAAUAAUAACAGCAGCCAUCAUUUGAAUUUCCCGUGUAUGUGGGGCAGCAGACUAGCACAUUGAGUAAAUAUCUCAAGUAAAUACAAAUCCAGGUGGAAACAGAGAAGGAACCUAUGACAGAAACUGUGCAGCCAGGAGAGGCCAGAUCUACACGCGCUCAGAACACAGGGUGUCGGCAAAGGUUCCCCGAGAGUCCAUUUCAACCAGUUGUGAGAAGAGACGGCAGAGCUCAGACGAGCAGGUGCGAGGAGCGAGCUGACUGCAAACAACAGCAGAGGACAUUUCCUGCGAUGGCGGGGAGUACCUUUCCUAGGUGUCUUUUAAAGCAGAAUGUUUUCCCACCCUGCGGGGAGAGGGCUGUUCGGUGUGAACCUGCUGGCGAGGAGGAGGGAGUGAAAUAUUUACAGAGCAUCCUCCGGCAGGCUGGAUUUUCAGAGGUAGGGAGCAGGAACCACUGGAGCCGUCCCUGCGUGGGCUGGUCUGGGCUUGUGUGAAAACCUUGGCGAGGAGAGGCCCAUGCCAGCGACGUGGCUUCCUAAGCAGGACAUCCAGCGAGUCAGUCACCAGCGCGGGUGCCUCGUCCUGGCUGUGGAACAUUCUGGGCUGCACUGCCUCUGCUGGGGGUGGGGCUGCAGGGACCCUCAGGACCCUCACGCGCUCGGGGAGGAAGAAGCCUGGGCUGAGUCCCCGUGCUUGUGGGGAAGCUCUGAGCAUGGACACCGUGGCCACUGACCACUGGGGUGAGGACCUCACCCCUUCCCUGCACGUCUAUGCUGGGCCUUGAGGAAGGGGAACCAGCAGGGUGUGGAGGAGGCACAAGGGGAUGGGGUGAGUCCUGCUGGGGCUCCAGUCCAUGCCCAGCAGCUGUCAGUGAUGCAGAGAAGGAUGUGACCCCAGAGGGCCAGAACACCCCACCCGAAACUGACUCUGGCUUCAGAGGCCGAAGGAACAAACUGCAUCCUCUGGAGCCAGAUGGACAGAGGGCUCCUUGCCUGGCUGCUUGUUGACCUGGUGGAUACUGCUCCGUCCAGCAUCGCUGUGAAGAGCCCUCCAGGUGCCCAGCUUCCAGUCUCAGCUCCGAUACUCAGAGGCGUGUGAUGUCCUAGCCUCAGCUUCCCGGUCUGUUCGAUGGAUGAUCAUUUUUCCCCUGACAACUGGGAAAACACAAAGCAAAACACAGCUCCAAUAAAAUUGUUAUGUUUUAUUGGAAUACCUCAAUCCACUUGAAAGAAUGUGGCAUGAAGACAGCACUAGGCCACUGUCGGCUUCUUCCUAAUGUUUGAGAUGGAGAGAGAAACACCCACAGGUAGAGAGGCACCAGCUGACCACAGGUACCCACCUGUCCAGCUCACAGGCCCUCUCUCCUGACCAUGGGCACCUGCCCACCCAGCUCACAAGUCCCAUCUCCUCCACCCAUCCC